AAAGGAAUAGACGGGAACCCGCACAAGCAGUGGAGCGCCUGGUUUAAUUCGAUGCUAAUCGAAAAAUCUCACCUAGGUUUGAACUGUAGUUACUACGCUUAUGAAAGUAGGCCGCUGGGUUUGAUACUAUAGAGGUGCUGCAUGGCUGCCGUCAGCUCGUGUCGUGAGAUGUAGGGUUAAGUCCCACAACGAGCGCAACCCCUAUUCAGUGUUACAAUUUCGCUGAAAACUGCCCCGCCCAAACGGGGAGGAAGGAGGGGACGACGACCAGUCAGCAUGGCCCUUAUGUCUAGGGCUACACAGACGCUACAAUGGCCAGUACAACGGGCAGCCAAGGAGUGAUCCGGAGCUAAUCCCAUCAAAACUGGUCUCAGUUCAGAUUGUAGGCUGGAACUCGCCUACAUGAAGUCGGAAUUGCUAGUAAUCGCGUAUCAGAAUGGCGCGGUGAAUACGUUCUCGGGUUUUGUACACACCGCCCGU
rnacentral:rRNA from 1 species